rnacentral:lncRNA from 1 species
AUGAGCAACGAAAGGACCAACUAAGAAAGAUUUAAGAAUGCGGUCGUAAGAGGAUGAACCUUCAAAAAAUAAGUAUAGCCGGAGUUGGAAGAUUUGUAGACGCCCAUCACAACUUCAAGUAUUUGAGGUGAGUUUUCUUAGGCCUUAAGUACAACCAAGACCAAGGGUACUAAGGCUAUAGGCGAAUCUUCGAUCAGUGUGACUGAC